ACUACAUGGGGGGGACACCAUGCAAUUUCUACUGUUAAGAGGGAACAAGAAAUAGUCUGGCAUUUCCUCAAGGGUUAAACAUGGGGUUGGCCUAUGACCCAGCGAUGCCGUUGCUAGGCAUGGCAGGACUGGAAUGUGAGGACAUUGCUGGGACACCCUGUCUUGAGGAUGACUGCCUGCUGUCUGUGUCCUUACACGGUGGAGAGAAAGAGAAAGACAUGGUGUGUGCAGAGGAGUCUCAUAAGGAUGCUAACCUCAUCAUGAGGACGCCACCCUCGUGACUUCAUCUCAACCUAAUCACCUCCUGAAGGCCCCUCCUCCAAAUACCAUCCCACUGGGGGUCAGGGCUGUGACACAUGAAUCUGGGGCAGGGGCACACACAUUCAGUCCAUUAAUAGCCAGGCUGGGGAAAGUUUUAAAGAGAUUUACGUAAUAAAGAAAGUGGUAUACAUAUUUACAUAUGUAGUUACCAUUUCUGACAUUCUUAA